GUCACUGGGGGCUUAAAGGGAGUGGUCAGUGUUAAAUGGCUGGCUCCUAGCAGGUAGUUGGAGUCUAGUUCCUAUGUCAAUGCCAGCCAUAACUGGGGGCACAGGGGAGCAAGUGACUGUGCAAAGCCACUUCCAGGCUGUGGACACAGGGCUGAGAAAUGGAAAAACCUACCAGUACCCAUUCCGGCUUUGACCUGGCUGGGGCAGCCUUGGGUCAAGUCCUCUCAGUAGUCCUGGUUUCCACCAACAUCAGGAAGGGGAGCUGCCAGAGCCAUCUAGGCAGGCACCCCAGGACUGUGCCAGCUUGAGCCAAAUGGAAUCUAGAAGACCAAUUUACUGCAAUGAAAUAAUACAUGUCUCAAAUCCUAAUGAUGUUGAUCGAUGGAUUCUCCGCUGGUUGGAAAUUUUUGCUACAUCGUUUUCCUCCAUCCACAUGACUGAGGGAGUUGACUGGACUUACUUUCUUGUUGAGGUUGUCUUCCCACCUGUGAACGUUGCUGUUCUCCGCGCCUUCCAAGUGCAUGCACUUGAACUUGUGUAAGCGGUCAUUAGCACCCUUCAACUCAGAUGGUUUUGUUCAUGGGGCCCCACUCUUAGCACUCCUGGGCUAUGUUACCCUGGACCUGGAACUCUGGGACAAGACUAGGAUCAUCUGAAUGGUUUGCUUAAGAGCCAAGAGCUCAGUAUAGAUAUUUAUUCAUUCAGUAGACAUUUUGUUAAAGACCUCUUUUGGAUCAGGCACUGAGCUAGGUCUGAGAAUACUGAGACGAAGAAAGUGACAUGCUUCCUGCCCACAGGGGGUUUGUAGUUUAUAGGGGGAAGCAGAUCUAAAGGCUGAGGAGUUACAGGUACUUUAACAGUUAUCUCUGUGAGGUAAAAGGGAGCAGAAAGGAGAAAGUGGUCUCCAGGGGUCAGUCAGAAAGGCUUCGUAAGGGAGCAGACAUUUGAUUUGUCUUACUGAGUAAGUGUUUGCCAGAUAGACAAUGGAACGGGCAUGUUGGGAAGAGGGAACGAUGUGGGUAAAGGCACAGUGUUAGGGAAAUGUGGAACAAACAGGUGAUUCCCCUAGAGCAAGAUGGUGAGGAACAGGCUGGACAAGUAGGCAGGGCUCCUGCACCUGCUGAAGAUCAGGCAGUGGAAAGGGUCAGGCUUUUAGACAGCAAUUCUUUUUUUUUUUUUUUUUUUUUAAUCCUUCUUGCUCUUGUUGAACCAGAGUGUCUAAUUUCUGUUUUUUAAGACCAGAUGGAGAGAAAAAGCACUAGAUUCCAACAGCCUCUCCCAUCCUUGGCGAUUAGGCAGGAAGUUUGCAACUGGUUGCCUUUUUAGAUUUUCCCUUCCGUCUUGAAAAUAACAAGCAGGCUUGUGUUGUGCUUUUCUGCCUGGUGGGAUUUGGUGUCUGGAUCAGAAAACAGCCCUGCAGCGCAAACUGGAGAGGGGCCGGCCUUGCUGCUAUUGCCGAAACCCCAGCAGGGGUUUUGUCUGCGUGGGAGAAAUGAAUUUUUUAUGGUUACUGCUUUUUCUUAAACACUUUGCCACCCUCCUGCCUCCCCCAACUUUGUAAAAUUAUUAAUCUUUCCUCGGGAGAGUCUUAAAUGAAAAGAGAACGUAUUGUAAUAUUUCACUGUACGGAGGAGGCACACUGGUUUCUCAAUAUGAAACAAAGGGCUGGGUACAGGUUUGGGGACUGUGCCUCGCCUGUUUUCUUCCGGGGCUUUUGCAUUUAUGUCCUUAUGUCACCUUGUAGUCUAAUUGUUUGGUUGAAUUAUAUAUUUCACUUGGACCUCAGUGAUUGUGUUUGGGGACCUGA